CAGGGGAUGGGGGCCCAACUGGGAGGUUGGGGCACUCGGGAAAUGUGAGUGUAUGCCAACCGUCGCAGCGGGAUAGGGGAACGUUAGAAUUCGGGGAAAGGGGGGUGGUUAAAGGAGAUGGAAACCCGGGUACCGGGAAGGCAUUUGACUGUCAGGUAGAGUGGUAGAGGGUAGUGGAAUUUCCUGUGAGCGGUGAAAUGGUAGAUAUGGAAGGACCCAGUGGGAAGGGCCUGGACCAUCGCAGUGAAGGGGGGCAACAGGUUUACGGCCAGCUAACAGUCUACAGCCGGCUAACGGGGAGCAACCACAACGCUGAGUCGGCGCAGUAACUCAUGUGCGGCCAACGUGACAUGUGUAAUCGCGCGACACCGCCUACAUGAGGAUCCAGAUGGUGUCUUCGGGAACUACACGUGUCAUGCGC
rnacentral:rRNA from 1 species